GACGAACGCUGGCGGCGUGCCUAAUACAUGCAAGUAGAACGCUGAAGGAGGAGCUUGCUUCUCCGGAUGAGUUGCGAACGGGUGAGUAGCGCGUAGGUAACCUGCCUGGUAGCGGGGGAUAACUAUUGGAAACGAUAGCUAAUACCGCAUAACAGUAGAUGUUGCAUGACAUUUGCUUAAAAGGUGCAAUUGCAUCACUACCAGAUGGACCUGCGUUGUAUUAGCUAGUUGGUGAGGUAACGGCUCACCAAGGCGACGAUACAUAGCCGACCUGAGAGGGUGAUCGGCCACACUGGGACUGAGACACGGCCCAGACUCCUACGGGAGGCAGCAGUAGGGAAUCUUCGGCAAUGGACGGAAGUCUGACCGAGCAACGCCGCGUGAGUGAAGAAGGUUUUCGGAUCGUAAAGCUCUGUUGUAAGAGAAGAACGAGUGUGAGAGUGGAAAGUUCACACUGUGACGGUAUCUGACCAGAAAGGGACGGCUAACUACGUG
rnacentral:rRNA from 1 species